rnacentral:rRNA from 1 species
CAGCACCUCAAGUGGUCAGGAUGAUUAUUGGGCCUAAAGCAUCCGUAGCCGGCGCUGUAAGUUUUCGGUUAAAUCUGUACGCUCAACGUACAGGCUGCCGGGAAUACUGCAGCGCUAGGGAGUGGGAGAGGUAGACGGUACUCGGUAGGAAGGGGUAAAAUCCUUUGAUCUAUUGAUGACCACCUGUGGCGAAGGCGGUCUACCAGAACACGUCCGACGGUGAGGGAUGAAAGCUGGGGGAGCAAACCGGAUUAGAUACCCGCGUGUCC